rnacentral:rRNA from 1 species
AGCUCCAAUAGCGUAUAUUAAGGUUGUUGCGGUUAAAAAGCUCGUAGUUGGAUCUCGGCGAGUUGGUGGCGGUUCGAUGAUUAUCGCAACUGCUACAUGUACUCGCGUUUUUGACGGAGGCCCCAGGGUUCUCUUAAUCGAGUGUCUUGGAGUGCCGUCAGGUUUACUUUGAAAAAAUUAGAGUGCUCAAAGCAGGCUUUACACGCUUGAAUAUUCGUGCAUGGAAUAAUAGAAUAGGACGUCGUUUCUAUUUUGUUGGUUUUCGGAAAUUGACGUAAUGAUUAAUAGGGACAGUCGGGGGCAUUAGUAUUCAAACGACAGAGGUGAAAUUCUUGGACCGUUUGAAGACUAACUACUGCGAAAGCAUUUGCCAAGAAUGUUUUCA